rnacentral:lncRNA from 1 species
CUCUCGUCUCUGCACCCCUCCCUGCCCUGAUCAACAAUCUUGUGUGAAGGUUUCUAUCCCUAGGAUGCCCCCAGGAUCCCGCUCGGCUUCCAGAUGGGAGAAAGUCACAGGCUGUGCUCUCUGUUUAAGCACCAUGCAAGCUGGGCUGUUCCAUGGACUAUGCGGCUUCCCGAGAAAGAAUCCAGUGAGAGACAAAGUGAUAGGUGAGACAUGGAUUUGCUUAGAGAGCAGCACACUCCGCGGAACGCCGGCCUUCUUAGAGGGCUGGAAUAGCCCCAGGGUGCAAUUGCCCUGGGAAGAUCAGUCUCCCUGUGACUGGGCCAAACGCUGACCCAGCCUUCACAUCUUGGCUUGUGAUGUGAUUUGAACCAGCACACCUUACGCCUCUCUUCAGAAGUUCUCAGCUUGCCUGUGGUUUGUACUCAGUUUGGUGAUCAUCUCCUCAUUGUAUCCUAUCUUCUCUCCUUUAACUCCUCAGGUAUUCUAGGGUUCACAGCCUGCAGUGAUUGAUGGUAAACCUGCUAGUUUUCACUGAAUAAUACAGAAUUUUGUAUACAGAGAGAGUACAGG